UAGAUUCACGUACUCAGCUGACUUCACUUUAUUGCUGCGUAACGCUGCUGAGCUGUAAUACUGAUCCAAUCAUUGGCUCUUAAGUAAUCGCUGAUUUAAAUUCAAACAGUGACGUUUUUUUGGCCAGUGUAGAAAACAAAAACGCAAUUAUUCAAAUACUGAGUGCUAUUAAAUGGAACUACCUACAGCUAGAGUGAAACAAUAUGAAUUGUGAGCAAGCUGCUGGUAGCAGUAUGCUUAAUUAGUAUGCUUAAUUAGUAUGCUUAAUGAGUAUGCUUCAUUUGUAGACACUGUCCUAAGAGAAGAGAAAUGAGAGAAUUGAGGAAACAGGUAUCGAAACCAAUAAUGGGCUGGAUUAUUGUGUGCUGUCAAUCACUAUGAGGUUUAACCCAAUGGGAACCUAUAAAGUACUGUAGUCCCACCCACUACAUUCCCCACAUUAUCACACUUAAGACUGAAUUCAGAUCAUGCAUUGUGUCCAUUACUACAUGGAAAAUGAAGUAUGUAUGGCACAUUCGCCCUAGUGUGGCCGCGGCAGCACACUAUCCAACCCGGACCUAUACAUAGAAAAAGCAGAAGCAGCAGGAGUAGCAGCCAGCUGGCGUAAUCCAAUCACUGGGGAAGCUCGCUGCAGACUCACAACUACGAUAAAAACUGGGAUCACAGGCACACGAGCACAUAUUGUAAUCAUGUCUUUUUUAUAUGGGAAUCACAGCAAACACGGCACACCGAUUUAAUGAUGGCGCAGAAGUGCAGGGCAGCCCCGUUAAGACAGCGCACUAAUAAACAUCUCAGAAAUAAACGCCUUUCACACAUGAAAAUCUAGAAGAACAGAGACAGUAGGUUCUUUCUUUAAUGAGUCUGCUUCCCACAUUCUGUCAUUCACAAGAGAUUUUAGAUCAAAACCAAAAACCAAACAGAUACAUGUACACAACAGUCCAAGUCAAAUACCCCUUGAUCUAAGUUCUUAAGCUGAAUUAAGUACACACCUUCCUCUAUGAAAGAGCAACACUUCUGGCAAAAAUAUCUGCCAAGGAACUCCAAUAAAACAAAAUGGUGCUUUGUGUGUCCAUCUGCAUAAGGUGCUAUUUACGAGGAGCUACUGUGCAUAAGGAUGCCGCUGGGGAUAUUUUGGACUAGCGGUCCCUGUAAUGCUGGUACUAUAAUUACACCACUUGUACAGCACUAGUUAAUUUUAAAGCAUGAGUGCAUUCCAAUAUUAACCCCUUCAAAGCUAGAUAGAGUGGGAACACUCGACUUGUGAAAGAGCAUGCCUUUGCUGCAUUUGCAAAAGCACCUCAUGAGAAUUUAAUUUAAAUUAUGUUCUAUUGUUAGUCCUCACCAAGAAAAGCAGAUCCAAGUGUGUUUAAGGACUUUUUUGGUUUAUCCAUUUAAUGCAAUACUUGAGAAUUUAGAAUAAAAUUUCAUUAAGAUGACUGCAAUAAAUGUUUAUGGUGUAGUAUCAGUAUACCCAGUCACCUGGAAAUGUUAUUUAAGACUAACUUAAGACUUACGGGUAUCAUUUCAAAACAUUGACCGCAUGCGAGUGCAGACUGACAGAUCACGUGCUCAGCGGAAGCACGUCGAUGCGUCUUUCCCUGCAGCGCCGCGGAGACGCGAAGGUCGGAAUUGCUGAGGGAGACUGAAUGACAGCGACCCCGAAACUCCUUCCCACCCCAUGCGGCUCGACAAUCCAAAAACCUAGAAAUUUCCACCGCAGCGGCCACACGGCCUAUGCUUCGGCCGACUAUACAGACCGCUUAUCGCAACACCACCACCCCCCCCACCCCGAAUGCAGCCGGCUACAAGCUGCUGGAAUGUUCUGCGGGCGGCAUGUAAAAAUAGACAACGACGCUAGUUAGCAGCAAACUGGCAUCCCGUCCACGGCGUCUCUUGCCUUGUCCUCCUUGGGAUAGACCCCAGGCUGACGGAAGCCCGUCCUGGAUUAGCUCUAAGAUCCAAAACAUUGUGACUGGGAGGAAGGCUUGACUCCCUCCAGCAUGUACAGUCAGAAAGUGUACAUCGACCAGGAGCAACGAUAAGGUCAAGACGGAGAGGAAGGCUCUGUCACUUAUUUGUGGCAUAACUGCUUGCACUGUAUUGUUCGCGCAACGCCUGCUGUGCUACUCACCCAACCUAUUCAAACAGCAAAUUAAGCUGUAGUUUUCACUACUGACACACCACUACAUGGCUUAAGAGAUGCGUUACUGUAAAUUUUAUCUCAAUACUGUUCUCUCCAGACAUGUUCAGAUGAGACACGUAAUUUUGCAGGAAUGUGACACGAUGCAUGACCUCAACGAACGCACAAGUCACUGUCUACUUUCCUAUGCUUAGGAAUCUCCCCAUAUUCACACU